rnacentral:lncRNA from 1 species
UGCUGGAGUUGCAUGGAGUUCGGGAGCCUAGGAGGGAUCUGCAAAUAACUGUCAAAAAGUUUGAAGGACGGCGGAGAUACUUUCAACGUAAGACUGCAAUCAUAAUUAAAACAUGAAUAGUAACAUUUUAAGUUCGUUGUGCCAUUAUGAACUCAUGUUAGUGCUGGACAUUCUAUGAUCCCAGUCCUGUUUAGGCAACGUUAUUGAGGGAUUUAGUUUGCAGAUCUACCUUUCAGGGACAAAGAACCUAGACAGGGAAAGAACAGUAACUUUUGACAGAAAUUUUGCUUCCUGUGAGAUGUGGUUAUUCUCUUCCUUUCACAUCUGUUUGUAGUUCUUUUAGUUUUCCCAGGCAUUAAAUAAAUUAAACCCUCUUUCUUGGAAUCACCAAUAUAUUAAUAUAUUGGGGGGAAAAAGAUUUGUAUUACUUAGGAAGUUGAUGAACUACCCACUCCAACAAUAGAGCCCUGAAAAUCAGGCUUAAGCUUUUGGCCAAACUACUAAAGAUUAUCCCUCCUGACAAACACACACCCUCUUUUUUUUUUUUUUUUUUUUUUUUUUAACCGGUUGACAGAUCUUUUUUGCAUCAUCACCAUUUUCAGUUUAGAUUCUUACUAGGUGGGAUAAAUUUCACCAUUCUAAUAUCAACCAUCACCAUUAUGCCUGGUGAAAAGUACAGAAUGUCUGGGCUGCAUCCUCAGAGUGUCUAAUUCGGUGUUUAUGGGAAAGGGGCCCAGGAGAAUCUGCAUACCCAGCAAUCCAUGUUUUCAGGGUUGUGGCUUGGGAAAGAACUGUUCCAGACUUCUGUACUUCCUAAGGACCUAUUUCGUAGAUGUUGCAGUGGACGGAAUGUUUGUGCUUUCCCUUAAAUUCAUUUGUUAAAAUCCUAACCUCAAUGUGAUGGUAUUAGGAGAUGGGGCCUUUGGGAGGUAAUUCAUAGCAUAGAGGCCGCAUGAAUGCGAUUAGUGCCCUUAUAAAAAAGGGACCCAGAGAGCUGCCUCCAUCUUUCUGCCACUUGAGGAUACAAAAAUACAUCAGUUUGAAAACCAGAAGAAGGUCCUCACCAGAAACCAACUAUGCUGGCACCCUGAUCUUGGACUUCUACCCUCCAGAACUGUGAGAAAUAAAUGUGUGUUUAUAAACCACUCAGUCAGUCUAUGGUGCUUUAUUAUAGCAUCUGGAACGAGCUAAGACAGCUACUAAGUAGCAUUCCAUUUGACAAGGAA